CUAAACCCUAAAAACACAAAAAAAAACCUAAGCCCCAAAUCCUAAACCUCUAAAACCCUAAAAACCCUUAAUAUAAGAAAACCAAAGCCCUAAACCUUAAAAACUUACAUAAAACCCUAUACCUAAAACCCUAAACCUAAAAUAUCCUAAGCCCUAAACCCUAAAUCCUAACCUAAAACCCUAAAUCCUAAACCUAAAACCCUAAAUCCUAUAAAAACCUGAAAACCAUUUAAAACGUCUACAAAACCCUAAUCUCUAAACCCCAAAUCAUAAAAAUCCAUAAAUCCUAUACCUAAAAAAAUACAAAAAAAAAACUAAGCCCUAAAACCUAAACAACCCUAAGAAACACUUAACCCUUAAAAAACCUUAAAACCCAACCCCCCCCCCCUCAAAACUAAAAAUUAUAUACUCUAAAUCCUAUUAAGCCUAAAAUCGUAUAUGCUAAACCCUAAAACACAAAAAAAAAAACCUAUCCCCUAAAUCCAAAACCUAUAAAACCCUAAAAAACCCAAAGCCCUAAACCUUAAAAACCUAGAUAAAAUCCUUACCCUAACACCCUAGGCCGUAAAUCUUAAACCAUAACCUAAAACCCUAAAUCCUAAACCUAAAACCCUAAGAAACAAUCAAGCAACCGCCUUAAGUUUUAGAUAGACUCUAGAUUAGUUUUUCCAUUCGUUUUCCAUGUAAGGGGAGAGUCUCCCUAGUUUAUUGCUUACUAGUUAUGAUGUAUGGAGAGGAGUCCUCUCCUCUAGGUGCAUAGUUAGUAGGUUCCUUUUCUAGUACGGGGAUGAGUCGACUAGCCUUUAUAGGAAGGUUGACACAUGUACCACCAUAGGUUCAGAGGUAAGGUUUAUGUCCCCCUCCUUGUAUUUUUGUUUUGUUAUUAAUGCUAAGGCCUGGAGGUGUUGCUAAGCCCCUGACCCCCCCAAGGGUCGUUCAAAUAAAAAAUAAAAAAUAAAAAAAACCUUAAGAAACCCUAAACCCUAAACCUUACGAAAUUCUAAAUCCUAUAAACCCUCUAAACCAUAUAUAACCACUAAGAAAUCCUAAACCCUAAAUCCAAAAAAUCUAUAAACUCUAAACCUAAAAAACACAAAAAAUCCCUAAGCCCUAAACCUUAAACCCUAAGAAACACUUAACCCUUAAAAACCCAAAAACCCAAAAACCCCUAAACCUAAAAAAAAUCUAAGCUCUAAACCCUAUAAAGACCUAAAUCGUAUAUGCUAAACACUAAAAAACACAAAAAAAAACCUAAGCCAUAAACCCUAAACUUAUUAAAACCUAAAAAACGUUAACCUAAAAAACCAGAAGCCCUAAACCCUAAAAACCUAGAUAAAAUCCUUAACCUAAAACCCUAAACCUAAAAAAAACACUAAGCCCUAAACCCUAAAUCCUUACCUAAAACCCUAAAUCCUAAAUCUAAAAGCCUAAGAAACCCUAAACCUUAAGAAAACUAUAUCCUGUAAACCCUAAAAACCUUUUAAAAUUCCUACAAAACCCUAUACACACAAUGGCUGCGAUAUCACCUCCAAAUACUACUAUCAAGUACGUUGAGUCUAUCAUUGCAAAUUUCUUUUAGGGGAGAGAUCAGGAUAAAAGGAAGUAUCAUUGGGCUUCUAUGGAGACCAUGAUUUUACCUUAUGCUGAAGGAGGAGCGGGUCUUAGAAAACUUACAGAUAUUUGUACUUCUCUCCAGUUUAAGCAAUGGUGGGUCUUUCGAUCUAAAUCUUCUUUAUGGAGUCAGUUUCUUAAAGCAAAAUAUUGUCAGAGGGCUAAUCCAGUUGCAAAAAAGGUGGAUACUAAGGAAUCAUUGGUAUGGAGGUACAUGAUGAAGAAUAAAGACAAAGUAGAAGAACAUAUCACUUGGAAAAUCAGUUCUGGCAGUUGCUCCUUUUGGUGGGAUGAUUGGUUGGGGGGGGGGUGCUAGCUAAGCAUUCCAGUUAUAUUUCAAGCCUCAACAAUGCUACUGUUGCUCAAUUCUUGGUUGAUGGUAAAUGGAAUGAGAGGAAGCUGAGGCAGCAGGUUCCACCUUUGCUCAUCCCACAUAUUUUGAACUAUACGUUUCAAUAUCAACAAGGAGUUCCUGAUAUAGCAAUCUGGAGGCCAAAUGAAAAUGGAAAGUUCACUUGUGCUUCAGCUUGGGAAAUCUGUAGACAUAGGAAUCAUAUUGCAGGGAUAAAUUCUCAGAUUUGGCAUAAACAUAUUCCUUUCAAAAUGUCCUUUCUCCUAUGGAGGGCUUUGAGGAAUAAAUUGCAAACCAAUGUGGCAUUAGGGAAGUUUGGUGUGGAGCCUGUGAGAUGCUUUUGUUGUUAUCAGCAAGGAUGGGAUGAAGUGGAUCAUAUCUUCAUACAAGGACAUUUUGCAGCUCAUAUCUGAAAAUAUUUUUCAAAUAUUUUGGGUAUUGAUGUGCAACAGACUUCCCUAAAUAGCUACCUAUUAAAUUGGUGUGGCAGUCAAGGUAAAAAUGAAGCUCACAAGACCAUUAUUCAGACUCCCUAUAGUUAUAUGCUGGAACCUAUGGAAAAAUAGAUGUUCAGUCAAGUAUGGGGGGAAAGAUAUCUAGCAUCAGCAAAGUUAAUUACUUGAUAAUUAAAGACAUGUUUUAGCUUCUCAGAUCUGUAUUUCCUUACAUUCAGUGGCCAAUGCAGUGGCCAGAAGUUGUUGACAAGUUAGAGCAAAGUAAACAUGAGGGUAGAGUCAUCUCAGUCAUUUGGAAACCUCCCCCUAUUUCUCGAUAUAAACUUAACACUGAUGGCAGUGCUUUGCACAAUCCGGGGAAGAUUGAGGAGGGGGGGGGGUAUUCUAAGGGACUCUAAUGGGAAUAUUAUAUAUGUUUUUGCUAUACCUUUGGGUGAAGGGACCAACAAUCAUGCAGAAGUUCAGGCUGCCAGUUAUGGGAUCAACUGGUGCAUUCAACAUGGGUAUAAAAACAUUAUUUUAGAAGUGGAUUCUGAAUUGCUAACUAAAUGGUUUUUGCAGAUUUCUGAUCCUCCUUGGAGGAUUUCCAGGUUUGUGCAGGAACUACAAAGUUUAGCUAAUCAGUGUGAACUUUUUCAAUGUAUUCAUACUUACAGAGAGGCCAAUAGUACAGCAGAUUGGUUGUGUAAACAAAGUCACAAACAAGAUAUCAUCCAACAUUAUUACAUUCCCAACCAAUUACCAAAAGCAGCAAGAGGAAGUUAUAUUCUGGAGAAAAUGGGCAUGCCAAGUUUCAGAAGGAAACACUUGAGAAGGAUUAAAAUUACUCCUUGACUUUUUGUUCCUUUCAACACACCUCCUUGAAUUUCUAUUUUUUUUCUUUCACCUUAACUAUGUUUUGCUUAGUUUGGUUGUUUGCUUAGGAACAGGAGCUCCAAGUGGUGUUUAUAAAUGGGCAUUCUUCCAUAAACAUCAUAUAGCAGGAAGUAUCUCCAACCAAAGUUCCAAACAUCUAAUUUUCGAUGAUCAAAACUAGUGCGGCAAGAGGAGUUAUUUGCAGAUCUGGAUCAUAAACUAAAGAGCAUAUAAUUACACUUCCUGCAAUUUGAUUCAUGUGAUACAUUCUUUUCGAAUUAGCUAUAUCUUUAGGUAUAGUUGUUUGAUUAGGCCUAGUUUUUUUUAUUCUCUUCUUGUAAGGGGAGAGUCUCCCUUAUUUAUGUAUUAUUAGUAACUUUGUAUUAAGAGAGGAGUCCUCUCUAGGUGCUUAGUUUAAUUUUACAUCUUAUUGUAUAGGGUGGAGUCGACUAACCUUAGUAGGUAGGUCGACUCUUCACCCACCUUAGGAUUGGAGGUAAGUUAUAUGCCCCCCUCCUUCUAUAUUUUGAAUUUUAUAUAUGAUAAGCCCUGGGGGUGCUGCUCAGCCCCUGACUCCCUCAAAGGUCGUUCAAAUAAAAAAAUAAAAAAUAAAAAACCCUAAGAAACACUUAACCUUCAGAAACCCUAUAAAAACACAAAAACCCUUAAACCUAAAAGACUCCCAGCUUUAAAGUACUCUAUAAAGCCCUAAAUCUUAUAUGUUAAACCUUAAAAAAUACAAAAAGUCCCGAAUCCCUAAACCCUAAAAAAACCAUGAUCUACAAAACCAUGAUCUAAAAAACCUAAGCCAUAAACCCUAAAAUCCUAGAUAAAACCCUUAACCUAAAAGCCUAAACCUUAAACCCUAACCUAAAACCAUAAAUCCUAAAUCUAAGACCCUAAGAAACCCUAAACCCUAAACCUUAAGAAACCCUAAAUCCUAUAAACUCUAAAAGAAACCCUAAAAACCAUUCAAAACGCCUACAAAACUCUAAGCUCUACACCCUAAAUCCUAAAAAUCUGUUAACCCUAAGCAUAAAAAAUAUUUUUAAAAAAUCCCUAAAGCCUAAACCGUAAAAAAUCCUAAGAAAUGCUGAACCCUUAAAAGCGUUAAAAACCGACAAAUCCCUUAACUUAAAAACCUCUAAGCUCUAAACCCUCUAAAGCCCUAAAUCGUGUAUGCCAAACCCUAAAAAACAGACAAAAAAAACCCUAAACCCUAAAUCUAUAAAAUCCUAAAAAAACCUUAACACAAAAAACCCAAAGCCCUAAACCUAAAACCCUAGAUAAAACCCUUAACCUAAAACCCUAAACCUAAAAAACCUCUAAAUUCUAUAACCUAAAACCCUAAGAAACUCUUAAACUUAAACCAUAAGAAACACUAAAUCCUAUAAAUCCUAAAAUAAACCCUAAAACACAUUUAAAACCCCUAGUUUCUAAAUCCUAAAAAUCCAUAACCCUAAACAAAAAAACACAAAAAACCCUAAGCCAUAAACCCUAAACCCUAAAAAACCUUAAGAAACACUUAACCCUUAAAACCCCUAAAAACCCCUAAACCUAAAAUAUUAUAAGCUCUAAACCCUAUAAAGCCCUAAAUCGUAUAUUAUAAAUCCUAGAAAAUACAAAAAACCCUAAGCCCUAAACCCUAAACCUAUAAAAUCCUGAAAAACAUUAACCUAAAAAACUCUAAAAACCAAGAUAAAAUCCUUAACCUAAAUCCCUACACCCUAAACCCUAACGAAAAACAGUAACUCCUAAACCUAAAAGCCUAAGAAACCCUAAACCCUAACCCUUUAGAAACCCUAAAUCCUAUAAUACCUAAAAAGACCUAAAAUUCAUUUAAAACCCCAACAAAACCCUAAGCUCUAAACCUUAAACCCUCAAAAUCCGUAAACUCUAAACCUAAAAGCCACAGAAAAAAACCCUAAGCCUUAAACCCUAAACCCUAAAAACCCUCAGAAAUACUAAACCCUUAAAACCCAUAAGCCUAAAAAAAUCUAAGCUAUAAAACCUAUAAAUCCCAAAAUCGUAUAUGCUAUAACCCUAAGAAACCCAAAACCUUAAACCAUAAGAAAUCCUAAAUCCUAUAAACCUUAAAAUAACCCAUAAAACCAUUUAAAACCCCUACAAAACCCUAAGCUCUAAACUCUAAACCUAAAAUCUGUAAACCCUAAACCUACAAAACACAAAAAACCGUAAGAGCUAAACCCCAAACCCUAAAAAACCCUAAGAAACAGUUAAACCUUAGAAACCCUAAAAAAACCCUAACAAACACUUUAACCUUAAAACCAUAAAAACACAAAAACCUCUAAACAUAAAAAAUUCCAAGCUCUAAACACUAUAAAGGCCUAAAUAGUAUAUGCUAAACCCUAAAACACACCAAAAAAAAAUCCUAAGCCCUAAACCCUAAACCUAAAGAACCGUAACAUAAAAUCCCAAAGCCCUAAACCCUAAAACUUAGAUAAAACCCUUAACCCAAAAAAUCCCUAAGUCCUAAACCCUAUACACUAACCUAAAACCCUAAAUCCUAAACCUAAAACCCUAAGAAACCCUUAACCAUAAACCUUAUGAAACCCUAAAUCCUAUAAACCCUAAAAUAAACACUAAAAACCAUUUAACACCCCUAAAAAACCCUAAGAUCUAAACCAUAAAUCCUAAAAUUCCAUAAACCCUAAACCUUAAAAUCACAAAAAAAAACCUAAGCCAAAAACCCUAAAUCCUAUAAAACCCCAAGAAACACUUAACUCUUAAAACCCUAAACCAAAAAAACUCUAAGCUCUAAACCCUAUAAAGCCCUAAAUAGUAUAUGCUAAAUUCUAAAAAAUAAAAUGUAACCGUAAGCCUUAAACCCUAAACAUAUGAAACCCUAAAAAACCUUACACUAAACCACUAUCCCUAAACCCUAAAAAAUUAGAUAAAACCCUUAACCUAAAACACUAAACCUAAAAAAACCCUAAGCCCUAAACCCUAAACCCUAAAUCUUAAACCUAAACGCCUAAGAAACCCUAAAUAAUAUAAACCCUAAAAUAAACCUUAAAACCAUUUAAAACCCCUACAAAACCCUAAGAUCUAAACCCAAAUCCUAGUAAUCCGUAAAUCCAAAACCUAAAACCCCAAAAAACCCUAAGAAACACUUAACCCUUAAAAACCCUAAAAACAUAAAAACCCCUAAACCUAAAAAACUCUAAGCUCAAAACCCUAUAAAGCCCAUAAAUGCCUAAAUUGUAUAUGCUAAACCCUAAAAAACACCAAAACCUCCUAAUCCCUAAACCCUAUACACUAACCUAAAACCCUAAAUCCUAAACCUAAAACCCUAAGAAACCCUUGACCCUAAACCUUAAGAAACCCUAAAUCCUAUAACCCCUAAAAUAAACACUAAAAACCAUUUAAAACCCCUACAAAAUACUAAUCUCUUCACAACAAUUCCUUAAAGGCCGUAAACCCUAAACCUAAAAAACACAAAAAACCCUAAACCAUAAACCCUAAAACGUAUAAAACUCUAAGAAACACUUUACUCAUAAAACCCUAAAAAACCCAAAAACCCCUAAACCUAAAAAAUUCUAAGUUCUAAACUCUAUAAAGCCUUAAAUCAUAUAUGCCAAAGCCAAAAAAACACAAUAUAACCCUAAGCCCUAAAUCCUAAACCUAUAAAACCCUAAGCCCUAAACCUUAGAAAAACUAGGUAAAAUCCUUAACCUAAAACCCUAAACCUAAAAAAAUCCUAAUCGUAUAUCCUAAACCCUAAAAUACAGAAAAAAUCCCUAAGCCCUAAACUCUAAACCUAUAAAACCCUAAAAAACCCAAAGUCCUAUAUCCUAAAAUCCUAGAUAAAACCCUUAAGCUAAAACCCUAAACCUUAAAACAUCUUAAUCCCUAAACCCUAACCUAAAACCCAAAAUCUUAAACCUAAAACCCUAAGAAACCCUGAACUUUAAACCUUAAGAAACCCUAAAUUCUAUAGACCCUAAAAUAAACACUAAAAACCAUUCAAAACUCCUACAAAAUCCCAAGCACUAAACCCUAAACCCUAAAAAUUCGUAAACCCUAAACCUAAAAAAACACAAACAAACCUAAAAAAUAAUUAACCCUAUAAAGCACUAAAUCAUAUAUGCUAAACCCUAAAAACACAAAAAAAACCCUAAUCCCUAAACGUAUAAAACCCUAAAAAACCAAAAGCCCAAAACCCUAAAAAACUAAGUAAAAUCAUUAACCUAAAACCCAAAUCCUAAAAAAACCCUAACCUAAAACCCUAAAUCCGAAACCUAAAACCCUAAGAAAACCUAAACCCUAAACUUAAGAAAACCUAAAUGCUAUAAACCCUAAAAUAAACCCUAUAACCCAUUUAAAACCCCUACAAACUAUAAUCUCUAAACCCUAAAUCCGCAAAUAUCGUGAACCCUAAACCUAAAAACCAUUAAAAACCCUAAGCCCUACACCCUAAGAAACACUUAACCCUAAAAAACCCCUAAAUCGUAUAUGCUAAACCCUACAAAACACAAAAAAGAACCCUAAUCCC
rnacentral:lncRNA from 1 species